rnacentral:lncRNA from 1 species
CUUGUGCAUUGAAACUUUCACCACAUGAAGGCAAUGUUGAAUUAUUGGUGCAUGCCAACCGGUUGGAUUAGAUAAAUCAAACCAAUAAAUAAAUAAAUAUAUGAUAAAGAAAAGCAAAAGUAAAAAGGUAUUUAAAUUUAUUUAUGAGAUUUGAAGAAGAAAUUGAGGUUUGACAGAAAAAAGAAGAAGAAGAAGGGAAAAUUAAGGUAGAA